AAAUUUAUUUCCUUUCUUCUUCCUCCCGCGCGUAAACCCCUCUCUCCAUCUUUUUCUUCUUCUCCUUCCUGUACCCUAGCCGCACGCCUCCCUCUCUUCCCUUCCGUUCGCCGCAGCCCAGCCGCCGGCUGUCUCCCCUCUCCUUUCUCCUCUGUUUUCUGCACCGCCGCGCGACCUCUGUCUCCGUCGAAGCCAAGUCCAGCCGUACGCCGUCUCUCCAUCACAAAUCACUCUGUUUCGCGAAGCUCCGCCGCUCCACCUGCUAUCGACGUCGGCCGACUAGUUGCUGUAACCGUUCAGAUUUGCUGUAACCGUUCAGAUUCGCGGUUUGUUCGAGUCGGUCUCCAUCCGUGAAGCCCAACCGCCAAGUCUCCUUUAGCCGACCGUUGACCGACCCACACUUAGGAUUUUUAUUGCGAGUUCGACAGUCGUGCGUGGAGGUGCUGCCUCUGUUUUACAAUUUUAUCGAGGUUGCUUUGUUGGUGUUGGGAGUAAUGUUGGGUCCCUUAAAUUCACAACCAAUUUGUGAAUUGUUGAGGGUUCAGUUCGCCAAUACUUCGCUGAGUUGGAACUUACGUUGAGGAAAGUAAGUGAGAUAUGUAUCGUGAAAGUAAUCGAAUUUUGUAUUGUUAUGCUUAGAAUUGUUUCGUGGAGGAAAGUAAGUGAGAUAUGUAUCGUGAAAGUAAUCGAAUUUUGUAUUGUUAUGCUUAGAAUUGUUUCGUGGACGUUAGUUGAUUAAGGAGCUUCCCUAACUUUGAGGCAAAGGUAAUAAAGGCGGCAAACCGGCGAGGGGCAGGAAGGAAGCGUGACCGCCACAGGGGACACUUUAAAAUUUUGCUUCUGCUUAGUGAUUUAUAGUAUUAUUUGUAUUCGAACGUGAGACUGUUUAGAAAAUUUUGAGGUUUUAAAGUAUUCAAAGAUUUGAAACUUUAGUUUUAAA